CCUACGGGGGGCAGCAGUGAGGAAUAUUGGUCAAUGGACGAGAGUCUGAACCAGCCAAGUAGCGUGAAGGAUGACUGCCCUAUGGGUUGUAAACUUCUUUUAUAUGGGAAUAAAAUGUUCCACGUGUGGGAUUUUGUAUGUACCAUAUGAAUAAGGAUCGGCUAACUCCGUGCCAGCAGCCGCGGUAAUACGGAGGAGCCGAGCGUUAUCCGGAUUUAUUGGGUUUAAAGGGAGCGUAGGUGGAUUGUUAAGUCAGUUGUGAAAGUUUGCGGCUCAACCGUAAAAUUGCAGUUGAAACUGGCAGUCUUGAGUACAGUAGAGGUGGGCGGAAUUCGUGGUGUAGCGGUGAAAUGCUUAGAUAUCACGAAGAACUCCGAUUGCGAAGGCAGUUCACUGGACUGCAACUGACACUGAGGCUCGAAAGUGUGGGUAUCAAACAGGAUUAGAUACCCGUGUAGUC
rnacentral:rRNA from 1 species